UGUGUGAUCAACAAAAACUUGUGCUUCUCAUUCAAUCUUUGUCGAACUAUGUUGAUGUGUGAUUAUGCACUUGUUGGGCCCUUUUGCUGUGCGCCUGCACUUGUAGAACUAUUUUGUUGUGCAUUUGUUGGGCCUUGAACCUUUAUGUGUAGAGGAGUUGAUUGAUGAUGUAUUGUAAUUCAUGUGAUGUGCUACUGAAAUGAAAUAUAUACAACUAAUU
rnacentral:lncRNA from 1 species